CAUCCUCCAAGGCUAAAUACUCCUGACUGACCGAUAGUGAACCAGUACCGUGAGGGAAAGGCGAAAAGAACCCCGGCGAGGGGAGUGAAAAAGAACCUGAAACCGUGUACGUACAAGCAGUGGGAGCACAGGUUUACCUGUGUGACUGCGUACCUUUUGUAUAAUGGGUCAGCGACUUAUAUUCUGUAGCAAGGUUAACCGUAUAGGGGAGCCGGAGGGAAACCGAGUCUUAACCGGGCGUUAAGUUGCAGGGUAUAGACCCGAAACCCGGUGAUCUAGCCAUGGGCAGGUUGAAGGUUGGGUAACACUAACUGGAGGACCGAACCGAC
rnacentral:rRNA from 2 species